rnacentral:rRNA from 1 species
UACGUAGGGUGCAAGCGUUGUCCGGAAUUAUUGGGCGUAAAGAGCUCGUAGGCGGUCUGUCGCGUCGGCUGUGAAAUCCCGAGGCUCAACCUCGGGUCUGCAGUCGAUACGGGCAUCACUGGAGUUCGGCAGGGGAGACUGGAAUUCCUGGUGUAGCGGUGAAAUGCGCAGAUAUCAGGAAGAACACCCGUGGCUAAGGCGGUUCUCUAGUACGGUACUGACGCUGAGACGCGAAAGCGUGGGGAGCGAACAGG